UUUCCGUAGGUGGACCUGCGGAAGGAUCAUUAUUGUAUAACCGAGGUGCGAGGGCUGUCGCUGACCCGAAAGGUCGUGCAAGCACGAGUGCCCUCACACACUUCCAUAUCACCCCCAUGUGCACCACCGCGUGGGUCCCCCUUUGGCUUGUUCGGAGGGGGGCUUCCGUUUUCACACAGACUUUGUAUGCAGUGUAGAAUGUAUUUUUUGUUUUUGCGAUCACGCAAUCAAUACAACUUUCAACAACGGAUCUCUUGGCUCUUGCAUCGAUGAAGAAGG
rnacentral:misc_RNA from 1 species